GAUGAACGCUGGCGGCGUGCCUAAUACAUGCAAGUCGAGCGAACGGACGAUAAUCUUGCUUCUCUGAUGUUAGCGGCUGACGGGUGAGUAACACGUGUAUAACCUACCUAUAUUUCUGGGAUAACUUCGUGAAACCGUUGCUAAUACCGUAUAAUAUUUUGAACCGCAUUGUUCAAAAGUUUAAGACGGUCUUUCUGUCACUUUUAGAUUUAUCCGCGCUGCAUUAGCUAGUUGUUAAGGUAACGGCUUACCAAGGCAACGAUGCAUAGACGACGUGAUAGGGUGAGCGGCGACACUGGAAGGGAGACACGGACAAGAGGACUAGGGGAGGAAGCAGAAGGGAAGGUGACGGAAUGGGCGAAAGCAUGACGGAGCAAGGCAGAGUGAGAGAAGAAGGUAUUAGGAUCGUAAAACUAUGUUAGUAGGGAAGAAAAUAUGUGGAAGUAAAUGUGAACAGAGUGACGGUACCUAAUAAGAAAGCAACGGCUAACUACGUG
rnacentral:rRNA from 1 species